ACUUUGGCCGAGUGGUUAAGGCGUUGGCCUGCUAAGCCAAUGGGGUAACCCGCGAGAGUUCGAAUCUCUCAG
rnacentral:tRNA from 1 species